GGCAGGCCUAACACAUGCAAGUCGAACGGCUCUUCGGAGCAGUGGCGGACGGGUGAGUAACGCGUGGGAACGUGCCCUUUGGUUCGGAACAACACAGGGAAACUUGUGCUAAUACCGGAUGAGCCCUUCGGGGGAAAGAUUUAUCGCCAUUGGAGCGGCCCGCGUUGGAUUAGGUAGUUGGUGGGGUAAAGGCCCACCAAGCCGACGAUCCAUAGCUGGUCUGAGAGGAUGAUCAGCCACACUGGGACUGAGACACGGCCCAGACUCCUACGGGAGGCAGCAGUGGGGAAUCUUGCGCAAUGGGCGAAAGCCUGACGCAGCCAUGCCGCGCGAAUGAUGAAGGUCUUAGGAUUGUAAAAUUCUUUCACCGGGGAAGAUAAUGACGGUACCCGGAGAAGAAGCCCCGGCUAACUUCGUGCCAGCAGCCGCGGUAAUACGAAGGGGGCUAGCGUUGCUCGGAAUUACUGGGCGUAAAGGGCGCGUAGGCGGACAGUUUAGUCAGAGGUAAAAGCCCAGGGCUCAACCUUGGAACUGCCUUUGAUACUGGCUGUCUUGAGUUCGGGAGAGGUGAGUGGAAUGCCGAGUGUAGAGGUGAAAUUCGUAGAUAUUCGGCGGAACACCAGUGGCGAAGGCGACUCACUGGCCCGAUACUGACGCUGAGGCGCGAAAGCGUGGGGAGC
rnacentral:rRNA from 1 species